GGCCCGUUGGUCAAGUGGUUAAGACACCGCCCUUUCACGGCGGUAACCCGGGUUCGAAUCCCGUACGGGUCA
rnacentral:tRNA from 1 species